rnacentral:rRNA from 1 species
UACGUAGGUGACAAGCGUUGUCCGGAUUUAUUGGGCGUAAAGAGCGUGUAGGCGGCCAGGCAGGUCGGUUGUGAAAACUGGAGGCUUAACCUCCAGACGUCGACCGAAACCUCCUGGCUAGAGUCCGGAAGAGGAGAGCGGAAUUCCUGGUGUAGCGGUGAAAUGCGCAGAUAUCAGGAAGAACACCCGUGGCGAAGGCGGCUCUCUGGGACGGUACUGACGCUGAGACGCGAAAGCGUGGGGAGCGAACAGG